rnacentral:misc_RNA from 1 species
GUGAGUCAUCGAAUCUUUGAACGCAAAUUGCACUGUCGGGAUAUCCCUGGCAGUACGUUUCUUUCAGUGUCGAAUUAACCACACCUCGACGGCGUUCUUACGAACGUGCAGUCGGAUAUUGAGUGUCAGCAUUUAUUUGUGCUGUCGCUUCAAAUGGAGUCGGAUCGCAACCAGUACGCAUUAUACGGGUUUGCACCGAGUUCUUAAACGUGCGCCUCUAGAGUACUAGCUCUGAGUCGGCAAACGUGGAUAAUGUGUGAGGCACUCUUCGCGGAGUGUUUUACCAACUUCUCAUGUUAU